GACGAACGCUGGCGGCGUGCUUAACACAUGCAAGUCGAGCGGAGCGGCGAACGGGUGAGUAACGCGUGAGUAACUGCCCCCCUCUCUGGGAUAACAGUUGGAAACGGCUGCUAAUACCGGAUAGUGGGGGAUGACUCGCGUCCUAUCAGCUUGGUGGUGGGGUAGUGGCCUACCAAGGCGACGACGAGUCGCCGGCCUGAGAGGGCGACCGGCCACAUUGGGCUGAGGUACGACCCAAACGCCUACGGGAGGAAGCGGUGGGGAAUAUUGCACAAUGGGCGGAACGCUGAUGCAGCACCGCCGCGUGCGGGAGGACGGCCUUCGGGUUGUAAACCGCUUUCAGCCAUGACGCGGUAGUGGCAGAAGAAGCACCGGCUAACUACGUGCCAGCAGCCGCGGUAAUUC
rnacentral:rRNA from 1 species